AUGCGGUCGCGGAGGCUGGACGCCGGGGCCCGCCAGGACGCGGGCGGUGUGAUCUUCGUCGUCCCCGCCGGCAGCGACGACAUGGACGCCGAAGCCGUGGUCCUCACCGGCGGCGACGUGGAGGACCGGGUAGUCUUCACCGGCGGCGAGGAGGACAAGGACCGCGUCGUCGUCACCGGCGUCGAGGAGGACAAGGACCGCGUCGUCGUCACCGGCGGCCAGGAGGACAAGGACCGCGUCGUCGUCACCGGCGGCCAGGAGGAGAAAGCUGGCGAGCUCUACCGCUUCGGCAACCGGGAGGUGUUCAUCGCAGAGAUGACCCUGUACGAGCUGGUGAUGAUCUGCCACGACGAGACGGGUCGGCUGCUGAACCGGGCGCGUCCGCCGCUCGACAAGCUCCAUGGCCUCGACAUCCUCAACGAAUCGCACCACCUGAUCAAGGAGGAGAUGCGCAAGCUGGAGACGCAGGACGUCCCCGUCCCCGUCCCCGGAGGAGGCCGCCGCGUCGCCCACCUCAUGGUCGGGCUGCACCUCCGCGUCGUCGCCUGGGCCGGCAACAUCGACGGUGUCAAGCCCCACCACUACCUGCCGGGCUUCCUCACGACCGGACAGCGCUACCGCCUCCCUAGCAAGAAGAAGCGCACUGGCACGCUCAUGGAGCUGCUACUCUACUCCAUGAUGAUGGCGUCGAACGCUAUCAAUCCAUUCCUCCCUGAGCAGGUCUUCGAUUUCACCGACUACCCGUAA
rnacentral:rRNA from 1 species